rnacentral:rRNA from 1 species
UACGUAGGGUGCAAGCGCUAAUCGGAAUUACUGGGCGUAAAGUGUGCGCAGGCGGCAGAGCAAGUCGAGUGUGAAAGCCCCGGGCUUAACUUGGGAAUUGCGCUCGAAACUACUUUGCUGGAGUGUGGCAGAGGAAGGUGGAAUUCCACGUGUAGCGGUGAAAUGCGUAGAGAUGUGGAGGAACACCAAUGGCGAAGGCAGCCUUCUGGGCCAACACUGACGCUCAUGCACGAAAGCGUGGGGAGCAAACAGG